rnacentral:tRNA from 1 species
GACCCCUUCGUCUAGUGGCCUAGGACGACGCCCUUUCACGGCGUAAACACGGGUUCGAGUCCCGUAGGGGUCACCA